rnacentral:rRNA from 1 species
CAACCUGAGAGUUUGAUCCUGGCUCAGAGCGAACGCUGGCGGCAGGCCUAACACAUGCAAGUCGAACGAAGUCUUCGGACUUAGUGGCGGACGGGUGAGUAACACGUGGGAACGUGCCUUUAGGUUCGGAAUAACUCAGGGAAACUUGUGCUAAUACCGAAUGUGCCCUUCGGGGGAAA